rnacentral:lncRNA from 1 species
UGCAUUUUUUUUGGAGAGAGAAAUUGUUGUUUAAAUAAAUAUUAUCUUCAGAAUUAAAGUGAGUGCUGAUAGCAGCAAGUGAUUUUAUAGUAUAAUUUAAUAGUGUUUACUUAAAAAAGAGUAACAAUAGGAUUUUAGAGAUGUGACAAUCCUUUAGCAAAGUUAUCAUUUAUGUAAUAUUAAUAUAAAACUACAUCUUUCAAGCAUUGCAUUGAAACAUAAUCACAGAAUGCGCUUAUGGUCUUACAAAAACAUGUGCUACGUACUAGCAAGAUGUUAUUAUUGUUACUAUAUAUUGCGGUUCCAUGCAUGCUUGUUGAACAAUUUAUGGAUGACCGUGGCCACCUGGACCUCUCGGAGGUAGUGGUUGAGCCGGUGGAUGAUCAGAUAUAGAACCUGGCGGCGGUGGACGAGCAAAGGAUGGUUGCAAAAGAAGAAGCAUUAUUAUGCAGAAUAACUCUAAAAGAAACCAAAGCAGAUUGUUCAGCUUCAUCUCAUUUCUCAUUUUAAUUGCCCUCUUACCACAUAAGAGUUUUCUAAAGAUGUAUACAAAAUUAUUAGAUGAAUGAGAAGAUAUAAGUUAUUAUAUAGGCCCCUUUCCUUCAACCAUUUUCCAGUCAAUAAAUUAUAAAAACAAACGCUGUCCGAAUGUCAAGUCAAUUUUCAUCUUGAACAAGUCGAAUGCAUAUAUAUUUUUUCCGAUAUUCCUAUCCUAAGUGUGAAUCCAUAAAAGAGGUUGCUGACUUAAUUUUCUUGUUUCUCACUUUAUUUAAUUUUUAUAAAUUUGGCUCACGAUCAAUUAAUUGAAGAGUUUGGUGGAAAUUCAAUUUACUAUAAUCAGAUCAAUGUAAUUUAAUUAUUUUUCUUUUUACUUCAUGUCAUGAAAAUUAUGAAUACUUUGUAGAAUUUAGAGGAUUAAAAAUUCUAAUGCAUAUAAUUUUAUUUUUCAAACUGAAUAAACAUAUCAUUAUUGCUUCUAUAAAUAGCUCAUUUGAACUUAAAACCUAUUACUUGUAUUUUAUGUUUCUGUCUCUUUUCAUAAUUUUUUUUUUUUACUUUUUCUUUCAUUUUCCCGACUCCCAAACAUCACUAAUCCUUGAUUUUUUUGGAGUAUUAACUGCUUGUUCCUCCAAACAUCGACCAACUGUUAGUCUAAUCACUAUCAAGAGACAACGUAUUCUGUAGCGGGGUUUUUCAUUUAUUGUCUUGUUACUUCUGAACGGGACUAAUUAAACCUUUUCAUAGGAAAGUACCAUCCAUUAUACACUUAUUUUGCUUUUCAUUGAAAAUGUUAAUAAUCAUAAUAAAUUAGAUUGAAUUAAUAAUUUUUGCCUCUGUGAUAUAAAUAAUCGGUUUAUUGGAUUUUCUUCUCUUUCAUUGAUUUUGCAACUGUGACUUCUGAGUCGGGUUAAGGAUUAACAAAAAUGUUGUAGCCCACAAAGCACGCAUAAUCAAUGAAUGAACCACACAUUUUUUGUAAAUAUCAGAAUCAAAUGGGUGGUAUCUAUCACAAAUACAAGUCAAGCCACACAAUUUUUCUUGUUAAACUCUACUUAUGGGCACUUGUGAUCCUUGAAUUAUCAAACGAAUAGCAGGAACACUUCAACAUCUGUUGUCAUAGGGAGAGAAGUCCGCUCUCCCUUCGAUGUAAAACGCAGGCAAUUUACAUUGACUUUUCAUCAAAACAAGCAUUGUCCAAUUCAUUUACAAGGGGACAUUCCCCCCAUUCUUGUCUCAUAUGCGGGUGGACACAAGCCGGUUUGAUUCGAGGGCAGAACCAAACUAAGAUCGAAACGAACUGAAACAAAUUAUUUUGGUUCGGUUUUGUUCGGUUUGCUUUGCAUUAAUAAUUUUGAUAACUUUUCUUUUAUAUUUACUAAAAUUUUAGACUUUUCACCUAAAUUUGUAUUCUUCUGUUAAUUCAAUUCAGUUGUCACCAUUACAAUUCAUGAGUUAUACAAAAUAUUAAUGUAAAAUAAUUUUAUAAUAAAUAAAUAUGGUCAUUUAUUGAAAAGUAAUACUUUUUUAUUUUAAACAAUGAACGAACUGUUUCUCCAAUUUACUUUGAACCGAAUUGAAUAAGAACCAUUCGGUUCUUAAAUUUCUAAACUAUUUAGUUUUUUUAUCUAAAAACUGAAUUCAGAAGCGAACCGAAUACUAAGUCCUAGUGUCAUACUUAUCAUAUUUAAAUUUAAAAAUGCCAUCAUAUCAAUAAGGCGAUAUGGAGAUUAUCUCACCUACUUUUUAUGUAUGUAUCUUCAUUACAGAAAAAAAAAUAUAUUCGGUGCUCCUACUCAAUGGCAAAAUCAACAUUCUUUGAUGGACACCAAAAUGAUUAAAGUAUAACUUCAAGUUGGUUUUGACAUAAAAUCGGUGUUGUAAAUAGUGCGUUUGUAUAUUAUAAAAUACAAAUAUUCCCACUAAAAAAGAAUUAUUACAUACAUAUAUUUAUAGUGUUUUUACUCAAUUAACUAUUAUACUAUAUGAUGUAAUAUUCUUCUAUAUUUUUAAUUCAAUAAAUGAUAAUAUGUCACAUUAUUCUAAAACUGGGUAUUAUAUUUAAAAUUCUACAGUACUUAGAGGCUACUAGCCUCUAAUCUUUUGUCAUUAAUUAUUACUUGUUAGAAAAAUUCAGAUGAAGUAUUGUAUUUAAAAUUCCAUGUACUUACAGGCUAUAGCUAGUCAGCCUCUAGUCUUUUUUUCAUUAAUUAUUGCUUGUUAGAAAAUUUAGAUUUUAAUUUGCCAUGAAAAUAUGUAUAGGAUCAUGAUCCUCUACGAUACUUAUAGGUUACAACUACCUAAUCUUUAAUCUUUUACAAGGCUGGCUUUAACCAAUUGGGGCCUUAGGCAAAAUUUUAUUUUAGGUCCUCUAAUAUUAAAAUAUCAACUCCCACAAGAACAUUAAAUAGUUCAAAAAACUCUCACAAGAACAUCAAGUAACUCAAAAUUCAACUAUAUUUAAUAAUAUCUUGAAUUACAAAAAUUAUCAACAAGAUUCCAAAAAACAAAAUAUAGUACGAAAGAUAUCUAUUUAUUUCCACACGAAUAUUAACUGACUUUGUCUUCCACAAAUUCCACCUCCUUAAGAUAGUCUGCAUCUUCAUUAGCUACAACCAUAAUCUUCCUAUGAACUUUAAAUCACUGCUCCUACCUACUAUGAUCCUUGCUUGUUGCAAGCCAUCACUAAUGCAAAUUACUAAUCAAUUAAGUUUUAUUCUUCUUUCUUUUUGUGAUGCAAAAUUAUUAAUUAAAAUGUUAUAUUCUAAUUUAACUAACAAAUAUUUUUCAAUAGCUAAUAUAGCUAAUCCAUUCAAUUUUUCUUGUGACAUUGUAGUUCUUAAAUAAGAUUUUAUUAACUUUAAUUUAGAAAAACUUGUCUCAACAAAAGCAAUUGUUACAGGUACUGUAAAUAAUAUUCUACAAGUAAGAAAUGCAUUUGGAAAAGAAUCUACUUUUUUAAUAUAAUUAAGUAUAUCAAGUGGAGUAUUUCUUUCAAUAUGUAAAACUUCUUUUAAGACUUUUAACUCCGAAAACAAAUAUAAUCCAUCAAUAUCAGAAAACAUAUCAUAUUUCAAGAUAUUUUCAAGAUUAGUAAAAUAACAUUUUAAACUUUCAUCAUCUAAUGAUUUUAAUUUUUCAAAAUUAAAUAAAAAUCUGAAAAUAUUUUCGUAGAAUUGAAGCUGCUUGAAUCUAUUGCUGAUUGGAGAAAUAUCUUGAUCUAUUACAUAUACAAAGUAAUCAAUUCUAAAAGAAUCUUUGGGAGAUAAAAUUCUCUCUUCCUACUAUGAUCCUUGCUUGUUGCAAGCCAUCACUAAUGCAAAUUACUAAUCAAUUAAGUUUUAUUCUUCUUUCUUUUUGUGAUGCAAAAUUAUUAAUUAAAAUGUUAUAUUCUAAUUUAACUAACAAAUAUUUUUCAAUAGCUAAUAUAGCUAAUCCAUUUAAUUUUUCUUGUGACAUUGUAAUUCUUAAAUAAGAUUUUAUUAACUUUAAUUUAGAAAAACUUGUCUCAACAAAAGCAAUUGUUACAGGUACUGUAAAUAAUAUUCUACAAGUAAGAAAUGCAUUUGGAAAAGAAUCUACUUUUUUAAUAUAAUUAAGUAUAUCAAGUGGAGUAUUUCUUUCAAUAUGUAAAACUUCUUUUAAGACUUUUAACUCCGAAAACAAAUAUAAUCCAUCAAUAUCAGAAAACAUAUCAUAUUUCAAGAUAUUUUCAAGAUUAGUAAAAUAACAUUUUAAACUUUCAUCAUCUAAUGAUUUUAAUUUUUCAAAAUUAAAUAAAAAUCUGAAAAUAUUUUCGUAGAAUUGAAGCUGCUUGAAUCUAUUGCUGAUUGAAGAAAUAUCUUGAUCUAUUACAUAUACAAAGUAAUCAAUUCUAAAAGAAUCUUUAGGAGAUAAAAUUCUCUCUUUGUUAUUAUUCUCACUAAAUUUAUUUUUUCUACAAAUUAUACAUUUUUCAUGAAAUUUUGGUUCUAUUUCCAUUUCAUUUGCAAUCUCUUUAGAUGAAAUCAUAGUAGAGACAAAACCAUUUUCUUUGUAAUCCUCGACAGAUGUACAUAAGACAUCUUAAUUGAUUUAUGGCAACAUCAAUUUGCAUAUCUUCCUUCUGUAAACUUUAACUAACAGUGUUCACAACAAAUAAUAUAUCAUACCAAAUAAUCAUACCUAACAAAAAUUCAAAGUUUUCCAUUUCAUAUGUUGCUAAACGUUUAGUUUCGCUUUUUAUUUUAGGAUCUUCACCAACUUCUACUAAUUGAAGUAAAGCAUCUCCAAUUUGGGGUGCUUGAAAUCUUAUUGCUUUGACACUUUCUAUACGACUCUCCUAACGUGUUUGUGACAAUGAUUUAACAAUUAAAUUAGGUAUAUUAUCUUGUAAAAUUUUUCAUCUCUUAGGUGAAGAAGAAAAUAGUGAAUAAACACGUUGAACAACUCCAAAAAAUGAAAUAACUUUAGGACAAGAAUUAGCCACAUCACAAAGUACUAAGUUAAUACUACGACAUCCACAUGGUAUAUAAAAUGCUCUGAGAUUUAUUUCUAAUGAUCUUUUUUGCACACCUUGAUUUUUUUUUCCUUUCAUAUUAAAUCCAUUAUCAUAUCCUUGUCCUCUUAUGUUAUUAAUAUCAAGUUCAAGAGUUUUAAUUACAUCCACAGUUGUUCUGUUAAGUUCAUUAUUUAUAGAGUUGGCAUCUUAUGGCAAGUCUAGUUAAAUUGGAAUUUUAUUUAUCACAUAUCUUGUAAUAAUGAUUAAUUUAUUAAUUCCCUAAUUUAGUGAGAUUCCAAUUUAUUAGGAAUAUUUAUUUCCUAAUUUAAUUAGAUUUCUAAUUUAACAAGUCAAUUAAUGAUGAGAUUCUAUAAUUGACGCAUGAGAUCUAUUUACAACAAGAAGUUGGUUCAAAUAAGAAGUUUAUUAAAUGCUCUAGAUGUUUCUUUGGAGACAAACAAAAUAAAAAGAUCAAAUUUAUUCAUAUUCAGAUUCAUAGGAAUUAUAAGGAAAAGAAAAUCUUAUUUGGAAAGAAUCCGAGUCUUUUAAGACUUACUAUUUUUGUGAAACCCUAGUGCCUAUAUAAAGAGAUGUAUUUCACAAUUAAAGGUAUGCAACAUAGAGUAAAAAGUAGAGAAGCAAAAUUCGGCCUCCUCCUUAGAGAAUUAAUCUCUUGUUCCUUCAUCAUUAAGCUGAUUUUUGCUACAAUUUGUAUUGAGUAAUUGCAACAAAAACAAUAUACUUUGUCAAAAUCCGUUGACUAUAUUAACCAUUUUCUAUCAUGUUUUUCUCCAUUUGGUAAUUUUGACAUGAAAUGCAGUAGAGAAAUGUCUAGGACUAAAUGUUGUGUUGAUUUGUUUUCUUAUCUUCUUUCAUCUCUGUGGAGAGUCUAUGUGGAUCUUAUAUCACUAGACAAUAAAGAAUUGAAUGAUUGCUAUUGAUCACUUUGCGAAGUGUCUUAAGGAUCGUGGAUCAAGAGGAGUAAUGAUUAUUUAAGAGAAGCAGAUUCAGUCCAAGGUUGAGUAAACUGUAUGGUGAUAAACCGUUAGUGAGAGUCUUAAGUAUGGUAAAUUUAUAGGUUAUAACAUCGCAACUUAGUGAAUUACUUUUCAUCUGGGCGUGGCCUUGUAGAUGUAGAAUUGAUUAAUCCGAAUAACGUAAAAAUCUCCGUGUCAUUUAUUUUUUGCAAUUUAUUGUGUUUUUUAAAAAAUUAAUAUUUUUUAUGUGGAUGAACAGUAACGUGAACAAUAACAGUGAACAUUAUUUUCAAAAUUUAUUUAAGUUGUUAAUUCUAGGGUUUUAAUUGCCUACAUCUAUUUGCAAUAGAUUUAAAUUCAUUUUAUGUUCAAUAACUAAUUUUCACUUAAAUUUAUAUCUUUUUUACUAGUUGUGACAAAUUUAUCAAGAGCUCCUUUCUAGAUUAUUCAAGCCAUGAUCAAUACGAAAAAUAAAAAAAUAAAUUAUAUUUUAAAAGGAUAAGAACAGUAAUAAUUAAAAAUAGAAAAAAAUAGAAUGAUAGCACUUAGAAUUGAGCUAAUUGACUAGUUGAGAUGAAUAUGAUGAUGGCAAUUAAUUUUGUAGCGAAACAUAAGAGAGCACAACUUUGUGUUGAAAGUAUCCUUAAUUCAAUGUAUUUUAUUAUGCCAACAAUUAAACUUUAGUGGCUUAAAUAUAUCAAUGAAUUAAUAUAGGAAGGAAUGUUCCUUCAUCUUCCUUCAAUAAUGCUUAAAUAUAUUUUAAUAGAAUACUAAAAGUUAGCUCUCAAAAAUCUAACGUUACUAAUUUUUUUGAGAGCUAUUUUUGGAAAGGAAAAGCAUUAGUUUUUUUUUUUUUGAAAUAGUAAAAAAAAAAUAAAGAAGUAACAUUCAAAAUAACUAUUAUACCAAAAACAUAUAUCUUAUAUUCCAUGUAAAGAUCUAUAUAUCUAUAUAAAGCUGAGACUUGAGGAGGUGAUGUGGCAUCACCAUUUCUCAUCAUCUCAUAUUCUCUAUUAUCUACUAAAUUGGUUGAAAUUAAAAAAUAAUUACAUUACAAAAUAUUAAAAUAGAAAAUAAUUAUUAGAUUAUAAAUGAUUACAUGUCUUUUCCUCUUUCUAUUUAAAUUCAACAAUAUGUAACCAUUAAUAAUAAUUAAUUAUAAGUCUUGAAACAUUCAUUUAUUUUAUUAUGCCAACAAUUAAAUUUUAGUGGAUUAAAAUACAUCAAUUAAUUAAUAUAGGAAGAAAGGUUCCUUCAUCUUCCCUCAACAAUGCCAUUAGAGCCUAAUUUUAAUGUCAUAAUCUCAUAUUUAAUUAUUCAAUCUUUUGUUUAGUGCCUUUUGGUUUCUUCAAACUCCAUAAACAUUAAAUAUUUAAGAUUUAAGAUUUGUGGCAUUAUUAUUUCUCAUCUUUUUUUAUUCUCUAUUAUCUAAUAUAUUGGUUGAGAUUAAAAAAUAAUUACAUUACAAAAUAUUAAAAUAGAAAAUAAUUAUUAGAUUAUAAAUGAUUACAUGUCUUUUCCUCUUUCUACUGCUGUACCGUACAUCCGCCUUGGCCGUACAGCAGUUUUUUUUCUUAAUUUUAUUAAAUAAUUUNNNNNNNNNNNNNNNNNNNNNNNNNNNNNNNNNNNNNNNNNNNNNNNNNNNNNNNNNNNNNNNNNNNNNNNNNNNNNNNNNNNNNNNNNNNNNNNNNNNNNNNNNNNNNNNNNNNNNNNNNNNNNNNNNNNNNNNNNNNNNNNNNNNNNNNNNNNNNNNNNNNNNNNNNNNNNNNNNNNNNNNNNNNNNNNNNNNNNNNNNNNNNNNNNNNNNNNNNNNNNNNNNNNNNNNNNNNNNNNNNNNNNNUCAUAUUUAAUUAUGCAACAUUUUAUUUAGUGUCUUUCGGCUUCUUCAAACUAUAUAAAUAUUAAGUAUUUAAGAUUUGUUAUGUUUGAGUUUUUUUUUUAUUAUUUAACCAACAUCCUCUUUAGAAAUGUUCUUGUGUUUUUAUUUUUUGACUUAUUUAAAUUUUUUGUAUUGUGUGCUUCAUGGAGUAUUCUUUUCUUCAUGAGUUAAACAAUAAUAAAGAUAGUUGGAUAAUAAGGGUUAGACUUUGUUAAAUACGAGAGUCUGUUAAUACCAAGAAGAAUGGAGAGUUGAUUAGUGUGAACAUAAUUUUUAUUAAUGAAAAGGUUGUGUACACUUAACUAUACACAUUAAUAUAUAUUUUUAAAGUUAACAAAAAAAUAAUUAACUUUCAAAAAUAACAUUAGUUUUAUAAGGUUGCGUCAUCUUUUAAAAAAAAUCAAUUCAUAUUUUUUAUCAGUUUAUCAAGUAUAAAGUAAUAAAAAAAUAAUACUAAAUUCUUUUUUUAAAGCCGCACGAAGUGCGGUUCUAUUUCCUAGUUAUCAAAUAAGAGAGAUAAGUAUGAAUGAGAGUAAUAAUAGGGUAAAGCAAAAAAAUUAGUCUCUUCUAUUGUAGAAAAAAAAUAUAUGCCUAACUUAAUUUUUUUAAUCUUAAAAAAAUUAAUUAUACUAAUUAAUAAAUAAAUACCCAAAAAAUUAGGUUUUCCUAAAUACAGGGCCCUAAGCAACUGCCUAGUUCUCCUAGUGCUAAAGUCACCACUGAUCUUUUGUCACUAAUUAUUACUUGUUAGAAAAUUCAUAUUGUUAAUUUGCCAUGAAAAUAUACAUGAUCAUUUUCUAAUCUAAUUUUUGUAAGGUUUGCAGGAGAUUAAUACCUUUGUAAUUUUAGUUUUGCGAUGGAUAAAUUUUUUGAAAUAAAUUUUAGGCCAUGUAGCAUUAGUAAAGAUAAGGGGUUUUGACUUUUUUACACUAUAAAACUCAUUUACCUGAACUAGGUUUUGUGCACUUAUUAUUCAUGUAAAUAUAAUUUUAUUAAUCAUUUUAUAUAUACUUCAUUAAUUUAAAUCAAUAUAUAUACCUUCCACUACUUUUAGCGACCUUUGCCUCUGAUAUUGGCUCUACUAACAGAUGCUAAAACAAAUCUCAUCCUUUCAAUUUUUAAAACUUAUAAGCUUCAAAUCUAUAGAAAAAGUAGAUUUUAAUAAAGAAAUUAACCCCCAAAAAAAACUCAUAAGCUAUCAUAGAUUAAGAUGGCUAGCUGGAAAUAAAACUAACACAUAUUUACAAAUAUUAUACGAGCAAUAUUAAGCAUCCUAACAUCGAAGUCUUAAUUUGAGUUUCAACUGACAUGACAUUAAUUCAUUCAAUGAUAAUUAAGUAAUUUUAUAAACUAUAAAAUUCAUCAUUCAAUGGCUGAGUAAGGCAUGCAUUAAACUUAACUUGGGGCUCAAAUGUUAAAAUUCUUAACUUUAUUGAUAAUAAUACUACAUCUAGAUGGAAAUAAAAUCACCAAAAAUCUAUGUAUUUGGGUGGAAAAUUGGAAAUAUAACACUUUCAAGUUAAAAACUAAAAGAAAGUACUAAAAUUAAAAAGAGGGUGUUAACAGGAGAGGAAGUAGAAGCUUCCUCCCCCUGAAGUAUAUGGAUGCUUUUGCUGUGAAGCAAAGAUGAGCACAGAGAGAGACAGAAAGAGAAAAGUAGCUUCCACUUGUUAUAAGAUUCCACUUAAAUUUGCACAAAUAACUAUCAGGCAACUAAUCCAAAUAAGUGAAGCUCUCAAAGGACGAAUAUACCAAUAAAAAAUAAUGUUUUUUUUUUCACGUAUGGAGACAGCGGCGAACGCAAUAGACAAUCUUUGAUGUGACCUGUUGUACGACCAACGGGUGGAUAUUUACGAAGAAGCAAUAUGCAGCGGCACAUGUACAACGUUACAGGAAACAAUAGCUGCUUCAUCUCCCCGUCUCUCUCAAUCCUAUAGAUCCUUUAAUUACUUCAAUUUUGCUGUAUCCGCUGGCUGGCCGUCUCUUCGAGAUCGUGCAAAUUUGAAGUUAUAUAUAGAUGUUUAUAUAGGCCGUUUAAUUGCAUCCAACCAUCCAUGCGUUCCAUUAAAAAACAUGGAACACAAAUAAUCUAGAUAUUUUGGCUGAAAUUCCAACCCAAAAAUAACGCUGAGUACAAGAAAUGUUGGAAACUGCGGCUACUUUUGGUAUUGUGCCAUUGUUAUACGAAAUAAAAGUUAAUUAACGAUGUUAUGAUAAUUUUGAUAAAAUAAUAAAAGAUCAAACAACUGUAUACAGUAUAAAAUCACCUUAGUUUCUACAUUAAGUAUUUUACUAAACACUUUAAAGAUACAGUUUUAAAUUAAGUGAUCCUAUCUAGAACUAAACUCACAUGAACUUUUAAAAAUAUAUGGGUAUAAGAUUUAACUCUUUUUAUUUAUUUAUUAACCACCAAUCACCCUUUGGUGAGUUCCUCCUUUUCUUUUCUUUUUUUCAUUAAUCAAUAAAUGAAAUUAUAAAGUUUAAUCUAAUUUUUAUUAUAAUAAUAAUAAUAAUAAUAAUAAUGGGUAUUUAGAGAUGAGGGGUCCAGGAGUAGUACCAGAGAGAUGAUGAUGACGGCGGAGGAGAGGAAGGAGGACGAGGCGUUGCACGCUGGCAACCUUAGAAUCGACCUUUGCAAAAUCCCUCUCUAACUUUUCAAAAUUUCUGCUGUACCGUACAUCCGCCUUGGCCGUACAGCAGAUUUUUAUUAUAUUGACAAGUAUUGACUGUAUUACUUUAUAUAAUACAAUGUGUUAUACAAACAACAUGUCAAAAGCGACUUCAAUGUCUAAAUGAUGUUAGAAAGCUUUAAGAUCAGUUUAGUAUUCCUGUUUAAAUAGCGGUUUUGCGCAUAUAUUUUAGGAAAUGUUUUUUUUUGUAUUUUUAGAGUAUUACUCCUUCACUAUUCAAUACUUGCCACAUGAAUAUGAAUAUUAUCAUAAUUGAUUGAAACAUACAUAUUAAUAUUAGUAUGUUACAAGAAAAGAAUGGAAAAAAAGAAUGGAAAAGUAGCACCCAAGACCUCUCCUUAUUCUAGAAGCAUUUUGCCUUUUGCAAAUGACACGUACUGCCCACAUACAUAAACACGCAACAAAUGUAUCAUAUAAAAUUUAAGGGUAUUUUUGGAAUUCAGAAAAUAAUGUCUCUUUCCAGGCUCUUUUGGGCCAAAAAUAUUUUACCUCAAAAUUUGGAAGAGUCCAGCUUAGAACACCUCUUCAAAAUUUUGUUUUGUUCUUAAAAUAUCCUAUUUUCAUUUAUGAAAUACAAACUUAAACAUUAAAAUUAAUAUCUUUCCAUAAAAUUUCACCCUUAAAAAAGUUAUUUUUCUAUUUAUAAAAUUCAUGCAAAUCCUAAAAUUUUUAAUUAUUUUCAUUUUUUUAUAUAAUUUCUAUCUCUAUAAAUCUAAACUCUUAUAAUUUUUUUAAAAUAUAUAGAAGAUAGGGGUACAAUAUUUGUUAAAAUAAUAACUUAUUUAAGUGGUUAAAUAAGGUACAUAUUUGGUAUAACUUAUCUAAUGGUUAUAAGUGCUUAUUUAAUUCCAUAAACUCUUUUCAAUUUUUUUUUUGUUGUUGUUUAGUCGUUUUUAGAAUAGAGUUUUUGAAAAUUAAGUAAAUUAUUUUACCUCCAAUAGUAAAAACUUAAAUUUUGGACUUUAGGGAGUAGAGGUUGAAAAGCUUAUUUAAAAUGUCAAAAUAUUUAAAAUAAAUUUAUUUGAUAAUCUUAUUUCAUUCUUUUUAUAAUUUAACUUUAAAAAAUUAUUUGUUAAAAUAAUCUUAUAAUUUUUAAUAAAAAUUCUCAUUGAUAACCAAAUAACUAAAAAAAAUUUGUGAAGUUCUGCUAAUAAAAAUUCUAUUUAAAUAAAUUUUAUUUAAAAGUUAUACGAAACCGGCUGAAAUUCUAUUCAAAAUAAGAAAUGAAUUAACUUAACAUUAGUUAUUUAAAUAAUUUAUGUGAAAAAAACAGUGCUUUACAAGGGAUUUUAAGGGCUGUGAAAAAACGACCCAAUUUGAAAACUAAUAGCCCCAAAUAUGAAAUAAAAACAAGGCAUCCUAAAAACAAAAUUUUUAAACAAAUUUGAAGGCUGCUGCUGCUGCUGCUGCAUACACAUUCAUCAACCGUUUAUCUUGCCACCGCCAAGGGUUCCAGCCGUGUUAUUUGUUAUAAUAAUAUUGCCGGCAAUUGUCAUUCAUCAUCAUCACUUUCUUUUAAUCCCCUUUAGUAUCUAUCAGCCACCAGCAUAUAUAGCAUCCGUCGAUUAGGGUUUCAUCAUCAAAGCGACCAAAUGGGGAAGAACGAAAAGACAGGACUCGGAAGAGCCCUAGUGAAGCACCACAAUCACAUGAUCCAAGAAACCAAAGAAAAGGGCAAAUUCUACAGGAAGCAACACAAGAAGGUUCUUGAAUCCGUCACCGACGUCAACGACAUCGACGCCGUCAUUCAACCGGCCGAGGAAGCCGAGGCCUACCCCGUCCCUAUCCCCCUCAUCAAUUUGUGAGUUCCUCCUUUUCUUUUCUUUUAAUUAUAAGAAUAACUUGUCUUGUAAUCAGACGUCUUUGUGUAUUGAAGUAUUUGGAUUGUGUAAUAUAUAUUGAUAAUAUUUAAAUGUUACGAAAGGUUUUGAUAUAUAAAUUGAUUUUUGUUCUUAUUUCUCACAGCCUUUUAAUUCUAUCAACAAAUCAAUGGGCAACAUGUCAUUUUAUAUAAUUAUUUUUUUAAAUAAUAAAUAAAGUAGUGAUACUAUAGUAACAGUAAUCACAAAUACUAAUAUAGUAUUGUAAUAUUUUGAUACCAUGGUGUUAUUAUUUUAGUGAUACUAUAGUAAUAGUAAUCACUGACACCACUUACAAGUGUCACUAUUUUUCUGACUCCCAGAUUACUGACACAAUUAAUAAGUGUCAGUAAAAGUAAUUUCUGACACUAUUUUAAAGUCAGUAAAAAUCAUUUUUCUAGUAGUGCCGUCAUCAAUUUGUGAGUUCCUCCUUUUCUUUUCUUUUUUUCAUUAAUCAAUAAAUGAAAUUAUAAAGUUUAAUCUAAUUUUUAUUAUAAUAAUAAUAAUAAUAAUAAUAAUGGGUAUUUAGAGAUGAGGGGUCCAGGAGUAGUACCAGAGAGAUGAUGAUGACGGCGGAGGAGAGGAAGGAGGACGAGGCGUUGCACGCUGGCAACCUUAGAAUCGACCUUUGCAAAAUCCCUCUCUAACUUUUCAAAAUUUACAAAUUUAAUUUAAUAUUUAUCUCAUUUAUCAUAAAAGUCCUUUGGAAGAGUCCAGCUUAGAACACCUCUUCAAAAUUUUGUUUUGUUCUUAAAAUAUCCUAUUUUCAUUUAUGAAAUACAAACUUAAACAUUAAAAUUAAUAUCUUUCCAUAAAAUUUCACCCUUAAAAAAGUUAUUUUUCUAUUUAUAAAAUUCAUGCAAAUCCUAAAAUUUUUAAUUAUUUUCAUUUUUUUAUAUAAUUUCUAUCUCUAUAAAUCUAAACUCUUAUAAUUUUUUUAAAAUAUAUAGAAGAUAGGGGUACAAUAUUUGUUAAAAUAAUAACUUAUUUAAGUGGUUAAAUAAGGUACAUAUUUGGUAUAACUUAUCUAAUGGUUAUAAGUGCUUAUUUAAUUCCAUAAACUCUUUUCAAUUUUUUUUUUGUUGUUGUUUAGUCGUUUUUAGAAUAGAGUUUUUGAAAAUUAAGUAAAUUAUUUUACCUCCAAUAGUAAAAACUUAAAUUUUGGACUUUAGGGAGUAGAGGUUGAAAAGCUUAUUUAAAAUGUCAAAAUAUUUAAAAUAAAUUUAUUUGAUAAUCUUAUUUCAUUGUUUUUAUAAUUUAACUUUAAAAAAUUAUUUGUUAAAAUAAUCUUGUAAUUUUUAAUAAAAGUUCUCAUUGAUAACUAAAUAACUAAAAAAAAUUGUGAAGUUCUACUAAUAAAAAUUCUAUUUAAAUAAAUUUUAUUUAAAAAGUUAUCCGAAACCGGCUGAAAUUUUAUUCAAAAUAAGAAAUAAAUUAACUUAACAUUAGUUAUUUAAAUAAUUUAUGUGAAAAAAACAGUGCUUUACAAGGGAUUUUAAGGGCUGUGAAAAAACGACCCAAUUUGAAAACUAGACGUCUUUGUGUAUUGAAGUAUUUGGAUUGUGUAAUAUAUAUUGAUAAUAUUUAAAUGUUACGAAAGGUUUUGAUAUAUAAAUUGAUUUUUGUUCUUAUUUCUCACAGCCUUUUAAUUCUAUCAACAAAUCAAUGGGCAACAUGUCAUUUUAUAUAAUUAUUUUUUUAAAUAAUAAAUAAAGUAGUGAUACUAUAGUAACAGUAAUCACAAAUACUAAUAUAGUAUUGUAAUAUUUUGAUACCAUGGUGUUAUUAUUUUAGUGAUACUAUAGUAAUAGUAAUCACUGACACCACUUACAAGUGUCACUAUUUUUCUGACUCCCAGAUUACUGACACAAUUAAUAAGUGUCAGUAAAAGUAAUUUCUGACACUAUUUUAAAGUCAGUAAAAAUCAUUUUUCUAGUAGUGCCGUCAUCAAUUUGUGAGUUCCUCCUUUUCUUUUCUUUUUUUCAUUAAUCAAUAAAUGAAAUUAUAAAGUUUAAUCUAAUUUUUAUUAUAAUAAUAAUAAUAAUAAUAAUAAUGGGUAUUUAGAGAUGAGGGGUCCAGGAGUAGUACCAGAGAGAUGAUGAUGACGGCGGAGGAGAGGAAGGAGGACGAGGCGUUGCACGCUGGCAACCUUAGAAUCGACCUUCGCAAAAUCCCUCUCUAACUUUUCAAAAUUUACAAAUUUAAUUUAAUAUUUAUCUCAUUUAUCAUAAAAGUCUCUAUUAAAUUUUAAAAAUAACCAAAACAUUAAGUAUUUUUCUUUAACUUCCAACCCACAAAGAAAUUGUUAUUUUGAAAUUCGUUGCACGCUAACUCUCCUCACACAAAAAAAAAAAUAUAUAUAUAUAUAUAUAUUGAUAGGCUAACAAGAAAAAUAGUUGAUACUAAAAAAGAUAAAUUGUAUUAAUUGAUUUAUUUAUUGAUAACAUUAGCAUUGAUUUUACUAGUUGUCAUGACUACAGUAGUAAAAUGCAUUUUCAACUAUGGAUUUUGUGAAAAAUCUUCUGUGAAAUCAAAUUAGAGAUUAAUAAUUGAGUAAUAUUAUUGUUGCACACGUAGAAAAAGAUUUAUUUUGUAUUCUUGAUGAUAAGUUUAUUUUUUAACAUUUUUAACAUAUGAAAACAUGUCGAGAUCAAUUAUAAAUGUAUUGAAUAUAUUAAUGAAUUUUUAUUUUUGAUACUUGUUACUUAUUGACCUUUUUUAGAUUACAUUAUUAUUUAAACUUAGCCCUUACUAAGAUAAAUUUCUGGCACCGCCACUGCUUUGAACUGUACCAUAAUAGAAUUAUUAAGGAGAGGAACAACCUUCGGACUGUGUCAUGAUAAAAUUAUUAAGGAAAGUCUCAAUUGAUAGAAGAGUUAUGAUCAAUUUCUAAGUAUAAAUAUCAUUAGAUCUCUAAUUGUAAUAUAUCAAAAUAUAAAAUAAAUAAAAAACUAUUUGCAACAUCAUUAUUCUUAUUCUAAUAUCAUGUUUGGAUUUUACCAAAUAAAACUAAAACUCUUCAAAGCGCAUAUCUCAAACUACUACAACUUAUAACUACAUUUUCUAUCAAUUUACUCGUUUUUUUCUAUUUUUUAUUUUUUUUUAAUUUUGUAGACCAAUUUACCACUGUAACGCUAAUUUACCCGUUUUACCUUCAAUCUACGAGUCAUACGUGUGGUUUAGAAAUUUUUUGUCUUAUUUCACAUUUAUUUGGAAUUUAGGUUAUUUAGUUUAAGUCAAUUGCCUCAACUUAAAUCCAACGUGAAAAUGGUUAAAGAGUUGGAUUAUUGGCAUUUUAUGAUUUAGAUAGAAUGAUAUAAGGGUGGGCAUGAGUUGGGUUUGAUAGGGUUAGUGAAACUCUAACCUGGUCUACUUUUUAAUGAGCUAAGAUAAAAUUCAUCUAACUUAACUAAAUAAACUUGUUUAACCCAAUUCUACCCAAACCUUAUAUCGUCUGGUUAAGUUGAUUAUGUUGAAGGUCAAAUCAAAAUUUUAAAUUGAACAAUGAAAAUGAUAUGAAACUUAUUAAAAUCAAAUAUAAAUCUUUUAUAACAUGAAAUUUUCAUUCACUAUCUAGUGUAUGUAAAGAAAGUUAAUAAAUUAACUAUCUUUAAAUUAAGAAAAUUUCCACAAAAAGCAUAUAGACUUUAUUUCUCCUGCAUCUCCUUUUCCAAUUCCAAAUUAAGACUUUUUAGAUAAUUAGCUAGCAUCAUAUACAAAAAUAAAAUGAAAGUGAUAUAUAAUUAUGUGCCGUUAAGUAUUCACUAAAAAAAUAAAAAAAAUUAAAACCAACUUACUUUUAUAGUACAGCAGGAUGCAAGAAUGAAAUAGCCUCUUGUAUUAAAAGAUUAAAAAGAAUAAAAAAUUAGAUAAGCCAUUUAAGUCUUAUUAUUAUUAUUAUUAUUAUUAUUAUUAUAGAUUUCGUUGGGUUAGACUGGUUAAUUAUAAUUUAUCCAACCCAAACAAAUUAUUAAUUAGGUUUGAAAAAAACAGACCCAAUUAAACCACAAUAAUCUGCUCAUGGUGCAUUUACCAAUCAGUAAUUGUAACGGGCUACAAUCAUAAUCAAGAAUGUGAAUAAGAAUAAGUUAUUUAUUUGAGCUGUAGAAAUUGAAGUCGGAAUGAGAUUCAUUUCCAUCGAUGUGUUUAAUUUGUCUUGAAAUCGGAAUGAAUUAUCAUAAUUUCUUAAAUGCCCUUUGUUGAUUAUUGUCAAUUGGUGGUAAUCAUCAUCAUCAUCAUCAUAAUAUUUAUUAAAAUAGUAUUAUAAUUAUGAUUACUAAUUCAUUAUUGUUAUAAUUUAUUAAUUUCAUGAUUUUGUUUUAUGAUUAUUAUUUAUGAAAAUAUCAUAUUUAUUAAAAUAGUAUUAUAAUUAUGAUUACUAAUUCAUUAUUGUUAUAAUUUAUUAAUUUCAUGAUUUUGUUUUAUGAUUAUUAUUUAUGAAAAUAUCAUAUUUAUUAAAAUAGUAUUAUAAUUAUGAUUACUAAUUCAUUAUUGUUAUAAUUUAUUAAUUUCAUGAUUUUGUUUUAUGAUUAUUAUUUAUGAAAAUAUCAUAUUUAUUAAAAUAGUAAUUAAAAUUUAUAAUAAUUAAUUAAAAUAUUUUUAUAGUUAUUAUUUAUUAAAAAAAUUCAAUAUUAUAACAAUUAUGGCACCAUCAACAGCAAAAAAGUUCAAGAAAAACUUUUUUUUUAUACUAUCUAUUUUUUCCCCUUUUUUGAAAAUAAAAGGCGGAAAAAAAAUACAUUUCCCAUUGAGUCUCAACGUCACUGUAGAAGAAAAAAAAAUCAAAACAAAAAGCACCGCCCUGUCUGCCCUUAAUGUUCAUUCCCAAAUGUGAUUUUCUGUCUCAAAUCUCCUAAAUUUUAAGCCAAGAUUCACCAAAUCCGAACCCGAAUCCGCUGGCACGUGAACCGUGAAACCGUCGAUCACAAUCCAAAUAGUUGGGAAUGCAGAUUGUCAAAGAGAUGAGAUGCAGAUUGUCGUUUAGAUUCUGGUGAUGGUAAGGCUGUGGAAGAAACCAAGAAGAGCACCAAAAGCAUCCUUCUAGUUUUAACCCUGAAACUGUCUUCCAACUCCAAAACUUUGCAGAUCGGUUUGGCGCGCAUCGCAUGAGGUAAGCAAUCUAGAAAAUCAUUUUAGAUCUAGUAAGAUCUGGUCCUAAUAUUUGCAAGCAAGUAGCUGAGGGUUUCUGCCAUUUUUUUCUGCCCCCUUACUUUUCUCACUCUUUCGCUUCUAGUAAGGCUCGGAGAUACUGAUCAUGUGGCUUCUAAGCUGGAUGAAAGGGGAUUUUAGUGGCAAGCUUGUGAUUGAGCAGAAUACCUAUUAUAAGAUGCAGUGAGGGACUGCCUUGUGGUGCCAGGGCCCGCCGUCCAGGCCUGAUGAGGAGACUGGUAAGUUGUCAUUGUCGUUGAGGUUUUAUAUUUUCUUAAAAGUUUAUAUCUGAUUAAUGAUUGAUCUUAGCAAAGGACUUGCAACUGCUGGGCUGAGUGAUUUUUGGGUGAUUGUAUUUGUGAAAAGAAUGAAUAUUGGUGAGAGUUAUGACAGAUAUUGAUGUUGUUGUUUAAGAUAAACUAAGGGGUGUAACUAAUCUGUUGUGCAGUUCAAUCGCUUUUGGCAAUUAUUAUCUUUCCGUAGUAUUAUAAGAUAAGAUGGGGUGGAGCUUUAUACUGCAUAUCAAUGCCAUGCUUCUCUUCUAUGUGCUUUUGGACAAACACUUCCUUUACUAUUAGUAAAAAUGGUUGCAGUGUAUCUUAAAUGAUUCUGCAGCUGUGCAGAUCAUCUUUAACUGAUUAAGUUCGAUCUCUAGGCUUAAUUUAUUUUGUUACAAAGGAGCUUAGGUGAUAGAGACAGAUCUUUAAGCUUAAUAAAUGUUGGUUUUAGCACCCAUGCAAAGUCACAUCUUUAACCAUUGAACCUUCCGUGUAACUCAGGUUUCUCGGCUAAUUUUUUGAAUGAGGACAGUCACAGCAUAGACUGUUCUACAACUGCCCUAUUUGAGCUUUUAAAGCUAUCAUAACCUCAUUAAUAGCUUUUGGUAACACAGUAUUCAAAGUCCUUUUAUAAACAACUCUUGCUUCAACCCAACCUCAUUUGUUUACUCACUGCCAUGAAAGUGUUUCUAUCCAAUCAGGUUGUUGCUUGUUCUGCUAUUAACAUGAACUUUGCUGCUGGUGCUGCAUACAAUUAUACAGCAAAAAAUAAACUAAAAAAUAGUAACCAAUUAACCCAGAAAUAGUAGAAAAUUUAACCUAAAAACAGUACCAAAUGAAGCCCAAAACACCAAAAAAAUUUAACCAAAAAAGGUAGCAAAUCAUCCCAAAUACAGCAAAAAAUUUAUCUAAAAUAGCAAAAAAUUAAACUGAAAAACAGCAAUAUAUAAACCCAGAACCAGCAGCAAAUGAAGCCCAAAACACCAGAAAAAUUUACCUGCAAAUAACCAAAAAUAUAACCAAAAAAUAGCAGUAAAUUUAUCUAAAAACAACAAAAAAAUAAACUAAAAAAUAGCAGGCAAUUAACCCAAAAAUAGCAAAAAAAUUAACCUAAAAACAGCACCAAAUGAAGCCCAAAACACUAGAAAAAAUUUAACCAAAAACGGCAACAAAUCAUCCCAAAUACAACAAAAAUGGCAAAAAAUUUAACUGAAAAAUAGUAGUAUAUUUACCUAGAAACAGCAAAACAUUUAACCCAGCACCAGCAGCAAAUGAAGCCCAAAACACCAAAAAAAAAUUACCUGCAAAUAGCAAAAAAUAUAACCAAAAAAUAGCAAUAAAUUUAUCUAAAAAUAUCAGAAAAAUAAACUGAAAAAUAGUAGGCAAUUAACCCAAAAACAGCAAAAACUUUUACCUAAAAUUGCACCGAAUGAAGCCCAAAACACUAGAAAAAUUUAACCAAAAAUAGCAGUAAAUCAUCCCAAAUACAGCAGAAAAUUUAUCCAAAAACAGCAAAAAAAUUAAUUGAAAAACAGCAGUAUAUUUAUCCAGAAUCAAUAGCAAAUGAAGCCCAAAACACCAAAAAAAAUACCUGAAAAUAGUAAAAAAUAUAACCCAAAAACAGCAUUAAAUUUAUCUAAAAACAGUAGAAAAAUAAACUAAAAAACAGCAGCCAAUUUACCCAGAAGCAGCAAAAAAUUUAACCUAAAAACAGCACCAAAUGAAGCCCAAAACACCAGAAAAAUUUAACCAAAAACAGCAGCAAAUCAUCCCAAAUACAGCAGAAAAUUUGCCUAGAAACAAAAGCAUAUCAAACCCAAAAUUUUUCUGCAACUUCACAUAAUUCUCUAUCACUUCAAUUAUAUUUGAGAUAAAAACCCACUUCCAGUUUCAAAAUUGUGAUCCAUUACCCUUAAUUUAUUUGCUUGUGUCUAAUGUAUAUUUUCAUUUGUUUAUCAACCAAAAUCAAUGCAAACAAUAAUACAAAAUCAAGGUCACAAUAGUUAGCAUAACUCAUAUAGCACUCUAUAUCGUUCACCCACACUCGAAGCUUUUCCUAAACUAUGUAAUCACUCAUUUCAUUGUAUAAGACAACAUAAGUCACACCACGUUGCACCGCAAUCAAAUACACUUCAAUUAGAAAUGAAAGCCAUUGAACCUAAAAGUAUGCAGCAAAAAUAUACAUACUGAAAUCAAGAUUAUGAAAACUAAUUCCAAAAGUAAUUCUUGUUUGAACUUUGAAAGCAUGAAAAUAUCUUCUAUUCAUGUUGGUGUUGACUCAUGCUUUUGAUGCUUGUUUGUGUUUUUGGGGCCAAAUACAAAUGUGUGAGUGUGAGAUCUCUUGUCACAUAAUACAUUGCUUUUAAGGGUUGUGACUGUUCCUGAAGGUUCAAUUAUUUUCCCUAAUAAGUACCAAUAGAGUCUGUCAAACCUAUGGACCAAGCUAUAGGUACCAAUAGGUGCCAUGCAGUCAAUUAAGAGAGGAAUACCAGCUUACCAAGUGUGCAAGUCAAUCUAUAAAUCCAAAAGUUUAUGAUAACCACUUGCAGUUAGAGGGAAAAAAAUCUUUUAAAGGGUACAAGAGGUUUAGUGCAGACCACAAUUUGUGAUUGGUUGUUAACAGAAAUGAAAUAUAAUAAUGGAAUAAUACAAGCAUGGCAUAAAUUUUUUAUUCAUAACUCAGUAAUCGAGAAGUGCAUACAAAUGAUAAUUGAAUGCUUGAUGCGGAGCAGCAUUUAGAAACUAUUCUUAUGGUCUACACCUUUCUCAAUAAGCAUUAUAAAUUUAGUUUCAAAUCAAAUUACAGUAUCAGAAAAUAAAGCUUGCAGCCAAUAAUGGAGAAAAAAGACAGUGUCAGAAGAAAUUUUCAAGAAUCUGAGCUUCAAAUAAGUGAGUAUUAAAGACUUAACGGGAAAUCCCCAUUCAAUUCCCAUAUAAAAGAGAAAGAAGAAUGUAUGUGUGAUCUUUAACUAAACACUGACAUUAAGUAAACCCAAACACUUUGCACAGGAACUUCUUAAUUAACCCAAAGAGAGUUAAGUGAAAUUUCAGAAACUCCAAGAGAGCAGAUGAAUAACAAAAAAAAAAAAAAAAAACUGAUGGCCAAUCAAAAUCGAAGAAAAAAAAAAGAAAUAACAAAACAAUAAUAAUAAUAAUAAUUAUGAAGAGCAAAGUGGGUCAAAAACACACGCUGUGUUCAGGCAAUGCCAUGUGCCCACAUGCUUCAAUAGAAAAGAAAAAUAAUAAUAAAAAAAAUGUUUGCAUACUCUUUGCUUCCUUCCUAUUGAGAAAUUUUGACAAGCAAAUUCUCGCUUCCUUCCUAUUGAGAAAUUUUGACAAGCAAAUUCUCGUAGAGAAAUAAUAACUCCAACAACAGCAACAAGUUAUAACAACUGAAUAUCAUCAACAGGAAGAAGAAGAAGAAAGAGGAGGAGGCAAUGAUUUGAACAGAAACACCCUUGAAAGAAAGCAGUAAUGGGUUCGUGAGAGCAGAUCAAAUUGAUCUGAAAAGCUUAGAUGAGCAACUGGAGAGGCAUCUGAACAGAGCAUUGAAUAUGGAAAAAUCCAAGAAACAGAGAAAUUCUGAUGAUAAUAUUUUGGUCACUACCGCCGCCGCCGCCGCCGCUUCUGCUAAUGCCACUGCUACUGCAAUCGGCAAUGCUUCUAAUUUUCUCAAGAGGCAAUGGCAAGAGUGCACAGGAACUUCUUAAUUCCGUGAACAAAUGCAGAAAUUAUGACUAUGAAAGAAAACUAUGCAAACCCAAACACUUACAGCGACUUCUUAAUUCUUAGAUUCAAUGCCAUGAACAAAUUAUGACCAUGAAAGAAAACUAAAAUGCUUAGCAAUUCGAACGAGACAGAGGAUUAAACUUACCUUGCACAGGUGACGACGACCAAACCAAGAUAGAGGCAGCAACAGCAGAGACUCAGUAAUUCGAACAAGAUAGAAAAUCAAGACACAAAAUCAAUUCAAGAAUGGCUGCAAUCUGCAGACGUAUGAGAGGUUUCUUUAGGAAUUCGUUAAUUAGGGAUUAAUGAAAAAUAUGAACGGAAGUUUUCCCUUUUUAUUUUUUUAUUUCUUUAAAAGGUAAAUCCUCUUUUUUUUUCCUUUAAACUUACACCGGUAAAAUUUUAUUUUAAAAAAGUACUUAACCGGCUUAUAACCGGUUAGAUUUAAUUUAAUUAAAAAUUUUAUUAUUUCAUGAUUAUUGUGAAUCGUUGAUUUAAUCUAACGGUCCAUAAUAAUUACGACAUCGAUGCCGUAAUUUUAAUUACGGCAUCAUAGAAUUUUCCACAUCAUUAAUCUAAAGUUCUCCUAGUUCGAGGAUCCAAAAACGAACACUAUGAAUUCAGUGUAAAUUGGGUUUGGGAUCUUGAAUGACUGUGAAAGUUGGAAUGCAUUUUUUUUAAUUUUUGUGCAUUUUUUUUGGAGAGAGAAAUUGUUGUUUAAAUAAAUAUUAUCUUCAGAAUUAAAGUGAGUGCUGAUAGCAGCAAGUGAUUUUAUAGUAUAAUUUAAUAGUGUUUACUUAAAAAAGAGUAACAAUAGGAUUUUAGAGAUGUGACAAUAGUAUUCCCAGUAAUGCUACACAUCCCAAAUUUCUUAUUCCAAAAAGUUAUCCCAAAUGAUGUGUCAUUAAUUGAGUGGUUGAUAAUUAUUUACAAUAUCCAAGUGAAUUAAUUGUAUUAUCUUACCAACCAAUUGAUAAAUGCCACAUCAUUUGGGAUAACUUUUUGAGAUAAAAAAUUUGGGAUGUGUAGUAUUAUUGUAGUAUUCCAACUCUUAAGCAAAUUGCAAAUGGUGACAAAAUCACCCAAAACGUCGCUUUGGGUGCGUGUGAGUUUUUUCAACCGUUUAGCAAACUUAUCAUUUAUGUAAUAAUAUAAAACUACAUCUUUCAAGCAUUGCAUUGAAACAUAAUCACAGAAUGCGCUUAUGGUCUUACAAAAACAUGUGCUACGUACUAGCAAGAUGUUAUUAUUGUUGCUAUAUAUUGCAGUUCCAUGCAUGCUUGUUGAACAAUUUAUGGAUGACCGCGGCUACGUGGCCCACUCGGAGGUGGUGGUGGAGGCCAUGGAUGAUCAGAUAUAGAACCUGGCGGCGGCGGCGGUGGUGGACGAGCAAAGGAUGGUUGCAAAAGAAGAAGCAUUAUUAUGCAGCAUAACUCCAAAAGACACCAAAGCAGAUUGUUCAGCUUCAUCUCAUUUCUCAUUUUAAUUGCCCUCUUACCACAUAAGAGUUUUCUAAAGAUGUAUACAAAAUUAUUAGAUGAAUGAGAAGAUAUAAGUUAUUAUAUAGGCCCCUUUCCUUCAACCAUUUUCCAGUCAAUAAAUUAUAAAAAACAAACGCAA